GCCGGCGUACGUUGGUUUGCACAGGAUUAUUUAAACAAGCCCUAGCUAAUUUAAAUAUUGGAUUUGGAAUGAUCUCUAGUCAUUCCUUCUUUGAUCUUAUUUCCAAAAAGUGGAAACAGGCCAUAGGUACUUUAUCUAUUCUAUGAAUAGCAAAGAUGAUAUUUUCAAAAUUAAAAAAUGAUAGACAAAAAAUUAGGUGAAUAUUUCCGGAUUUUGAAACUCAUAUUUUUAAUAUAAUAGAGAUGUAUUAUAUUGUCUAGAGGGAAAAAUUAAUGAAAUUAAGAAAACAACGUUAUGACUCAGGACUCUGCA
rnacentral:lncRNA from 1 species